rnacentral:rRNA from 1 species
GCGAGAAACCUAGGCGGAGAGGGAAACCGUGACUGGGCUAUCCCGAGUGCCAGCCGCUAAGGUUGGCUUUUCCCCAGAGUAAAAACCUGGGGGAAUAAGCGGGGGGCAAGACUGGUGUCAGCCGCCGCGGUAAUACCACCUCCGCGAGUGGUCGGGACGAUUAUUGAGCCUAAAGCGCUCGUAGCCGGUCCGGUAAGUCCUGUGCUAAAUCCAACGGCUCAACCGUUGGGCCGCAUGGGAUACUGCUGGGCUAGGGAGCGGAAGAGGCCAGGGGUACUCCCGGGGUAGGGGCGAAAUCCUAUAAUCCCGGGAGGACGACCAGUGGCGAAGGCGCCUGGCUAGGACGCGUCCGACGGUGAGGGGCGAAAGCUGGGGGAGCGAACCGGAUUAGAUACCCGGGUAGUCCCAGCUGUAAACGAUGCGGAUUGGGUGCCGGUACGGCUUCGGGCCGUAUCGGUGCCUCAGGGAAGCCGUUAAAUCCGCCGCUUGGGGAGUACGGUCGCAAGACUGAAACUUAAAGGAAUUGGCGGGGGAGCACCACAAGGGGUGAAGCCUGCGGCUCAAUUGGAGUCAGCGCCGGGAACUUUACCGGGGGCGACAGCAGUAUGAGGGCCAAGCUGAUGACUUUGCCCGACGCGCUGAGAGGUGGCGCAUGGCCGUCGCCAGCUCGUGCCGUGAGGUGUCUGGUUAAGUCCAGGAACGAGCGAGACCCUCACCCCUAGUUGCCACCGCGCAAGCGGGCACACUAGGGGGACCGCCACCGCUAAGGUGGAGGAGGGAGGGGGCAACGGCAGGUCAGCAUGCCCCGAAUCCCCCGGGCCGCACGCGGGCUGCAAUGGUGGAGACAAUGGGUUCCGAACCCGAAAGGGGGAGGUAAUCCUUGAAACUCCACCGUAGUUGGGAUCGAGGGCUGCAACCCGCCCUCGUGAACCUGGAAUCCCCAGUAAUCGCGUGUCAUCAUCGCGCGGUGAACACGUCCCCGCUCCUU